UACGAAGGACCCACGCGUUAUCCGGAUUUAUUGGGUUUAAAGGGUGCGUAGGCGGGUUAUUAAGUCAGUGGUGAAAGCCUACAGCUUAACUGUAGAAUUGCCAUUGAUACUGAUGAUCUUGAGUAUGAUUGAGGUGGGCGGAAUGUGUCAUGUAGCGGUGAAAUGCUUAGAUAUGACACAGAACACCGAUUGCGAAGGCAGCUCACUAAGCCAUAACUGACGCUGAUGCACGAAAGCGUGGGGAGCAAACAGG
rnacentral:rRNA from 1 species